rnacentral:misc_RNA from 1 species
CGCACAUUGCGCCCUUUGGCAUUCCGAAGGGCAUGCCCGUUCGAGCGUCAUUUAAACCACUCAAGCCUCGCUUGGUAUUGGGCGUCGGGACCCUCCCGCGCCUCUAUUUCGCCGGCCGGCCGUCGAUCGACGUAGCGUUGUGAAAUAUUUCGCUAUAUGUAAUGAGACGUGCGCCGACUGUCAAGUCUAUUUCUCGGGGACGCGCUCGCGCGUUUCGUACCGGUUGACCUCGGAUCGGGUAGGAAUACCCGCUGAACUUAA